GCGACCCCCAGGUCAGGCGGGGGCUACCCGCUGAGUUUAAGCAUAUCAAUAA
rnacentral:rRNA from 1 species